rnacentral:rRNA from 1 species
UACGUAGGGUGCGAGCGUUGUCCGGAAUUAUUGGGCGUAAAGGGCUCGUAGGCGGUUUGUCGCGUCGGGAGUGAAAACUCAGGGCUUAACCCUGAGCCUGCUUCCGAUACGGGCAGACUAGAGGUAUGCAGGGGAGAACGGAAUUCCUGGUGUAGCGGUGAAAUGCGCAGAUAUCAGGAGGAACACCGGUGGCGAAGGCGGAUCUCUGGGCCGAUACUGACGCUGAGGUGCGAAAGCGUGGGGAGCAAACAGG